GAAAAGGAAGGUGCUGUGCAACUGAAGGAGAACAGCUUUUUAGUUGUUGAAUCUGGCUGGGCUGUGGCAAUUGCUCAGUGUUAAAAAGCUCGUUUCGCUCUUCAUUGUUGAUUCAGGUGAAGAAAUUCAUACAUCAUUGCAAGGGCCAAGCCUCGUAAUACCAGGACAACUAUGAAUAUGCGCAGCCUGUAACACGCCAGCAGCGAGUAUGCUUACCUCAAUGGGAUCUACAUCGUGGGCAAUAACUACAAGCUGAGCUUUCUUGUUCUCUACCAGAGUUGUGACACUGUUAAUACCUGAAAAACAAGUUAUAGAUAAACUUUGA